AAACCAUGAUGAGGGCACUCUAAGAGAAGAUCUUUGAAAUGUUCCAUACACGAGAGAAUGAUUCGUUGGGUCUUUGGCGAAACUAGAGAAUGUCGUUCCUAAGCUU
rnacentral:snoRNA from 1 species